rnacentral:rRNA from 1 species
AGCGCAGGCGGGAAGACAAGUUGGAAGUGAAAUCCAUGGGCUCAACCCAUGAACUGCUUUCAAAACUGUUUUUCUUUGAGUAGUGCAGAGGUAGGCGGAAUUCCCGGUGUAGCGGUGGAAUGCGUAGAUAUCGGGAGGAGCACCAGUGGCGAAGGCGGCCUACUGGGCACCAACUGACGCUGAGGCUCGAAAGUGUGGGUAGCAAACA